rnacentral:rRNA from 1 species
UACGAGAGGCCCAAACGUUAUUCGGAAUUACUGGGCUUAAAGAGUCCGUGGGCGGCGCGGAAAGUGGGGUGUGAAAGCCCUCGGCUCAACCGAGGAAUUGCGCUCCAAACUACCGUGCUUGAGGAACCUAGAGGUGAGCAGAACUGAUGGUGGAGCGGUGAAAUGCGUUGAUAUCAUCAGGAAUACCGGAGGCGAAGGCGGCUCACUGGGGGUUUUCUGACGCUGAGGGACGAAAGCCAGGGUAGCGAACGGG